rnacentral:rRNA from 1 species
GACGUAGGAAGCAAGCGUUGUCCGGAAUUACUGGGCGUAAAGGGUGCGUAGGCUGUUUUUUAAGUCUGAAGUGAAAUCCUGUGGCUUAACCAUAGAACUGCAUCAGAUACUGGGAGACUAGAGUGCGGAAGAGGUUGACGGAAUUACUAGUGUAGCGGUAGAAUGCGUAGAGAUUAGGAGGAACAUCAGAGGCGAAGGCGGCUUACUGGACUAUAACUGACGCUGAGGCUCGAAAGCGUGGGGAGCAAACAGG